rnacentral:rRNA from 1 species
UGGGGAAUCUUGCACAAUGGGCGAAAGCCUGAUGCAGCAACGCCGCGUGCGGGAAGACAGCCCUAGGGUUGUAAACCGCUUUCAGCAGGGAAGAAACUGACGGUACCUGCAGAAGAAGAUGCGGCCAACUACGUGCCAGCAGCCGCGGUGACACGUAGGCAUCAAGCGUUAUCCGGAUUUAUUGGGCGUAAAGAGCUCGUAGGCGGUUCGGUAAGUCGGGUGUGAAAACUCUGGGCUCAACCCAGAGAGGCCACUCGAUACUGCUGUGACUAGAGUGCGGUAGGGGAGCGGGGAAUUCCUGGUGUAGCGGUGAAAUGCGCAGAUAUCAGGAGGAACACCAGUGGCGAAGGCGCCGCUCUGGGCCGUAACUGACGCUGAGGAGCGAAAGCAUGGGUAGCAAACAGGAUUAGAUACCCUGGUAGUCCAUGCCGUAAACGUUGGGCACUAGGUGU